rnacentral:rRNA from 1 species
GACGAACGCUGGCGGCGUGCUUAACACAUGCAAGUCGAACGGAAAGGCCCUGCUUUUGUGGGGUGCUCGAGUGGCGAACGGGUGAGUAACACGUGAGUAACCUGCCCUUGACUUUGGGAUAACUUCAGGAAACUGGGGCUAAUACCGGAUAGGAGCUCCUGCUGCAUGGUGGGGGUUGGAAGGUUUCGGUGGUUGGGGAUGGACUCGCGGCUUAUCAGCUUGUUGGUGGGGUAGUGGCUUACCAAGGCUUUGACGGGUAGCCGGCCUGAGAGGGUGACCGGCCACAUUGGGACUGAGAUACGGCCCAGACUCCUACGGGAGGCAGCAGUGGGGAAUAUUGCACAAUGGGCGGAAGCCUGAUGCAGCAACGCCGCGUGCGGGAUGACGGCCUUCGGGUUGUAAACCGCUUUCGCCUGUGACGAAGCGUGAGUGACGGUAAUGGGUAAAGAAGCACCGGCUAACUACGUG